rnacentral:rRNA from 1 species
ACGCGGGGAAUCUUACCGGGUCCGGACACACUGAGGAUUGACAGGCAAAUCUAAUAGAAUCUGUCUUAUUUCUUUAAUAAGUAUAGAUUUCUAUUUGUUAUAAAGAUGCUAGUCCUUUCAUGAUUAUGUGAUAGGUGGUGCAUGGCCGUUCUUAGUUCGUGGAGUGAUCUGUCUGCUUAAUUGCGUUUCACUAAGGUCCCAGUAAUCUAAGGUAUGCUCGUCUACUUAUCUCAUAUGACGCUGAUAGACCCCUCGUAAGAGCGCGUUGUCUAUUGCGUUAAUAUAUGUAACAAGUGACACAUACUGUUGGGAUCUGAAAGCAACGAACGUGACCGCAACGUCUUGUUGCCUUUCUAAUUUAUUCUAAUUCUUUUGUAAUUAGUUUAAUAACAAAGGCUAUUCUUUAAACUAGACGGACCGCUGUUUCUCUUUUAAACCAGAGGAAGGUUGCGGCAAUAACAGGUCUGUGAUGCCCUUAGAUGUUCCGGGCUGCACACGUGCUACAAUGAUCAGUACAGUGAGCAUCUCAAUUUAUUACUAACACCGCUUUAUUAAAGCAUUCAGUGUGUAGUUGUGUAAGCAGCUGCCUCUGAUAUGCGCGGUAACACCUGUCUCGAGAGUCGAUGGGUAAUCCAUUAGAAGUAAUGAUUCCUCUCUUUUAUAUAGCACACUGAUAUACAGCAUCGGUUCCCGAGGUAACCUUGUGUUACUUAUGUGCGAGCGUGAUGUCAGAGCUUAACGUUUAUUAUUCUUUAUGUCUAAUAGAUCUCUGAUUUUACUGUAUGUGCAAUUGUAAUUCG